AAUAGAUACCCGGGUAGUCCUAGCCGUAAACGAUGAGUGCUAUGUGUGAGGGGUAUCGACCCCCCUCGUGCAGGAGUUAACGCAAUAAGCACUCCGCCUGGGGAGUACGGCCGCAAGGUUGAAACUCAAAAGGAAUUGACGGGGGCCCGCACAAGCAGCGGAGCAUGUGGUUUAAUUCGAAGCAACGCGUAGAACCUUACCAGGGCUUGACAUCCACCGAACCCUGUAGAAAUACGGGGGUGCUCCUUCGGGAGAGCGGUGAGACAGGUGGUGCAUGGUUGUCGUCAGCUCGUGUCGUGAGAUGUUGGGUUAAGUCCCGCAACGAGCGCAACCCCUAUCGUAUGUUGCCAGCGAGUAAAGUCGGGCACUCGAUGCGAGACUGCCGGUGACAAACCGGAGGAAGGUGGGGAUGACGUCAAAUCAUCAUGCCCCUUAUGUCCUGGGCUACACACGUGCUACAAUGGCCGCACAGAGCGAACCGAACCGUGAGGGGGACGAAACCGCCAAAGGCGGUCCCAGUUCAGAUCGCAGGCUGC
rnacentral:rRNA from 1 species